GCUUACGGCCAUACUAUCCUGAGAAUGCCCAAUCUCAUCUGAUCUCAGAAGCUAAGCAGGAGUGGGCCUGGUUGGUACUUGGAUGGGAGACCGCCUGGGAAUACCAGGUGCUGUAAGCU